UAGCUGAGAGGUGGGCUAGAUCUAUACCGAGAAGAGUGUACAGGGUUCGUGGACCAAACGCUCUCUGGCACAUCGACGGAAAUCACAAGCUCAUAAGUGUUUUAUAGAAGCAGUUGCACGUUAUGGUGUGCCCUCAAGAGUGAGAUCAGACAAAGGUGGUGAAAAUGUAGAGGUUUCUCUCUAUAUGCUGCAAUGUCGAGGCACUGGAAGAGGAAGUAUGAUAACUGGUUCAAGUGUUCACAAUCAGAGAGUAGAAAGAUUUUGGAGAGACUUGUUUGAAGGCUGUACUUUUCUAUUCUACUUUCUAUUUCGCAAUAUGAAGAUAAUGAAUCUACUAGAUUCUACAAAUGAGACACACCAUCAGUACUGCAGGAAACAGAAGUCUAUUGCAGUUAUGAAUAGAAGGAAUGUUAAGAGGUGCUUCUUUGGAUGAGUUGA